AUUGAACGCUGGCGGCAUGCCUAACACAUGCAAGUCGAACGGUAACGCGAGGAGCUUGCUCCUUGGCGACGAGUGGCGGACGGGUGAGUAAUACUUAGGAAUCUGCCCAGUAGUGGGGGACAACCAGGAGAAAUUCUGGCUAAUACCGCAUACGCACUACGGUGGAAAGUGGGGGACCUUCGGGCCUCACGCUAUUGGAUGAGCCUAAGUCGGAUUAGCUUGUAGGUAGGGUAAUGGCCUACCUAGGCGACGAUCCGUAGCUGGUCUGAGAGGACGAUCAGCCACACUGGGACUGAGACACGGCCCAGACUCCUACGGGAGGCAGCAGUGGGGAAUAUUGGACAAUGGGGGCAACCCUGAUCCAGCAAUGCCGCGUGUGUGAAGAAGGCCUGCGGGUUGUAAAGCACUUUCAGUAGGGAAGAAAAGCCUAGGGUUAAUAACCCUGAGUCUUGACGUAACCUACAGAAGAAGCACCGGCUAACUCCGUGCCAGCCGCCGCCGUAACAC
rnacentral:rRNA from 1 species